rnacentral:rRNA from 1 species
UCCAGACUCCUACGGGAGGCAGCAGUGGGGAAUAUUGCACAAUGGGGGAAACCCUGAUGCAGCAACGCCGCGUGGGUGAAGGAGCGUUUCGGCGCGUAAAGCCCUGUCAGCGGGGAAGAAGAAAGACGGUACCCGACCAAGAAGCCCCGGCUAACUACGUGCCAGCAGCCGCGGUAAUACGUAGGGGGCGAGCGUUAUCCGGAAUUACUGGGUGUAAAGGGAGCGUAGGUGGCAUGGCAAGCCAGAAGUGAAAACCCGGGGCUUAACCCCGCGGAUUGCUUUUGGAACUGUCAGGCUGGAGUGCAGGAGGGGCAGGCGGAAUUCCUGGUGUAGCGGUGAAAUGCGUAGAUAUCAGGAGGAACACCGGUGGCGAAGGCGGCCUGCUGGACUGUAACUGACACUGAGGCUCGAAAGCGUGGGGAGCAAACAGGAUUAGAUACCCUCGUA